rnacentral:tRNA from 1 species
GCCUGGGUGGCUCAGUCGGUUGAGUGUCCGACUUCGGCUCGGGUCAUGAUCUCAUGGUUCGUGAGUUCGAGCCCCACGUCGGGCU